rnacentral:rRNA from 1 species
GUUUACAGCCAUACCACUCUGAACGUACCCGAUUGUGUCUGAUUUUGGAAGCUAAGCAGGGUCAGUCCUGGUUAGUACUUCAGUGGGAGACUAUCUGUGACUACAGGGUGCUAUAGCUU